GUGACAACCUGAGUUUAAAUGUACUUGGCUAAGGUUUAUGUAAACUUCCCACUUCAACUGUAUAUAGCGGGUGAGGGCAUUCACAGCCGACCACUCAGACAGAACCAAUGGGUGUGCCUGAGUCUCAUCACCUCUCAACUAGGGAAGAUGUUUCAUCCUGGAACACUAUUCUCCUGCUUUGGUCUUUCAGUCAUUGCAGGAAGUCCUGAAGACCAGCAGUUGUCCCAAACACAUGACUUAAACAAUCAACAUAACGAAUCACAGCGAUAGGCUAUGAUGUGAAAUCCGGUAUGAGCUGGAACGAAAGCUUGUACACACUUCUGCCAUUCAGAUCUGGAGCUAUCCACCCUGUUCCCAGCAUGCAGGACCCAUUGAUUACAGGGUAUUGAUUAGCUAAACAAGCAAGUCUGUUUGUUUUGUUACCAAGGGCAACUACUGUAGCUGUCUAGCAAAAUUGCUAGCUACUUCAGUGCAUGUUGAACACAUUUCUAGCGGUAAAUGUGUGAAAUUAUAGCCGUGGUAUAAAUAGUGCGUUGUGAAACACAUCCGCCAUGUUGUUGAUUAUAUUCCAUAGAAGGCCUGGUCCCUCGUUGAUUAUCCCUUACAUAAUGCAUGUUCCAAUCUCAAAUUGAAGUUGAACUUGUUGACUGAUGCCCAGGCGGUGGCUGCUAAGAAGAAGAAAUGAAUAGCUGCUGACCAGAAGAAUGCAGUCAAGGGAGCACUGGUCCACACCUGCCCUGUCUGUCAGAACAGUCUCAAUUCAUCGAGGCGUGGACUCUACAAGGUGUCAGAACAGUCUCAAUUCAUC